UGGAAAGUGAAGACACCCAGGGGCUC
rnacentral:piRNA from 1 species